rnacentral:rRNA from 1 species
GAGUCUGACGGAGCACGCCGCGUGAGUGAUGAAGGUUUUCGGAUCGUAAAACUCUGUUGUUAGGGAAGAACAAGUGCGAGAGUAACUGCUCGCACCUUGACGGUACCUAACCAGAAAGCCACGGCUAACUACGUGCCAGCAGCCGCGGUAAUACGUAGGUGGCAAGCGUUGUCCGGAAUUAUUGGGCGUAAAGCGCGCGCAGGCGGUUUCUUAAGUCUGAUGUGAAAGCCCCCGGCUCAACCGGGGAGGGUCAUUGGAAACUGGGAAACUUGAGUGCAGAAGAGGAGAGUGGAAUUCCACGUGUAGCGGUGAAAUGCGUAGAGAUGUGGAGGAACACCAGUGGCGAAGGCGACUCUCUGGUCUGUAACUGACGCUGAGGCGCGAAAGCGUGGGGAGCGAACAGGAUUAGAUACCCUGGUAGUCCACGCCGUAAACGAUGAGUGCUAAGUGUUAGAGGGUUUCCGCCCUUUAGUGCUGCAGCUAACGCAUUAAGCACUCCGCCUGGGGAGUACGGUCGCAAGACUGAAACUCA